rnacentral:rRNA from 1 species
AAUGAACGCUGGCGGCGUGGUUAAGACAUGCAAGUCGAACGGUUUUUCAGGUGUAGCAAUACAUUUGAGAGACAGUGGCGAACGGGUGCGUAACACGUGAACAAUCUACCUUCAAACGGGGAAUAGCUCGCCGAAAGGCGAAUUAAUACCGCAUACGGUUGAUUCUCUCCUGAGAGUCAUACCAAAGUCAGGGACCGCAAGGCCUGACAUUUGAAGAGGAGUUCGCGGCCAUCAGCUAGUUGGCGAGGUAACGGCUCACCAAGGCUAAGACGGGUAGCUGGUCUGAGAGGAUGGCCAGCCACAUUGGGACUGAGAAACGGCCCAGACUCCUACGGGAGGCAGCAGUGGGGAAUCUUGCGCAAUGGUCUAACGACUGACGCAGCGACGCCGCGUGAGGGAUGAAGCUCUUCGGAGUGUAAACCUCUGUUGCCCGGGACGAAUAGCGGAUUAUUCCGACUUGACGGUACCGGGUGAGGAAGCACCGGCUAACUCCGUGCC